UCACAGGCCUCACAUUCCAGUUUAGUACCCAUGGAUUUGUUAAUCUGGAAAAUAUUGAAUAUCCAUUCUUGCCAAAACUCAGUGGUAGCCUGCUCAUUGUUUAAUAUAUACCAGGUACCAUUUUUAGUACUUUUUCUAAGGGUUUAGUUAAUCUGCACAACGCCCCACCCUGAGAAAAGUACUAUAACUAGACACCCCAUUUUAAAACGAGACCAGACCAGCAAGGCACAGAGAGGGCAGGCUUCGAGGGACUUCACAAAGGCAGAGCAGUAGAAGAGGUCAGCAAGCACCCCAGAGCUGUAUCCGGCCCAGUCCAGCUUCUCCCUCCUUGCUGAGCCAGUGAGGAUUCCAGGCCUGAGGAGGCGCAGACAAUCACCGAGCAUCGCCGUCACCUGGGUCUGUGUGGGCCUCGCUGCCCAGGCGAUUGCAGAGCGGCCUCACCUGAUCACACACGAGCCCCAGCUCUCCUAACACAGAACCUGCUUGCUGACUCAGAACAAUGAGCUCUGUGAGACCCAUGUCCUAUUUGGCAAGGUGUGUAUGCAUGCUCAUUCCUGUAGGAUUCUUUGGGACUCCAUGGACUGUAGCCUGCCCGGCUCCUCUGUCCAUGGGUUUUCCCCUGGCAAGAAUACUGGAGUGGGUUGCCAUUUCCUUCUCAGGGGAUCUUCCUUCCCAACCCAGGGAUUGAACCUGCAUCUCCUGCAUUGGCAGGCAGAUUCUUUACCCCUGAGCCACCUGUGAAGCCCUCUUAUUUGGCAACCUCCAGGCUUAAAUAAACCUGCGGAGACCCUCCUAGGCUUCCACUGCAGCUUUCUCCAGUUUUUCUCAAAACCCUUCCCCUUGGGCAGUUCAUUUCCCCCUGGUCUCCUGAGUGGCCCCUGGAGCUAGGCUUCAUUGGGAAUGAACAAUGCAGCCAUCAACAUCUUGGGCCAACUACAAACCCAAAAUGCGUCUGGUGUGCUGCGAACGUGAAGGUGGCCGAGAGGCCGGAGAAAGAGCAGAAUUUCCAGCAGCUGCUACAGAAAUAGCACAGCCAAUUAAGAUGCCAGCUGCACAGAGGCAGCAAUACAAUCUGGAGCAUUAAUAACUCUGGACUGUGCAUUUUUAGGAAAACAGAUUUGCCUUUUACCUGCAGGUUUGGUGAUAAAGAUUUAGAGCAGGGCCAGCCAACUGGCAUCCCAUUAAGUCCCUCCCCGCCCUGUGUGUUGUAACCGGAUCCUCCCCAACUACACUUGCUUGGCUCUGGCCUCCUGAGUACCUUUUGGUUCACGUGCUUGUACAGCUGGUCUUCUUGAGUUGCGGUCAAAGAGCUUAACCAAAAUAGUUCUCAGGAGAAGAAUAAGAUUUAAUAAGGAGAGAAAACUAAAGGAAAAAUCGCAUCCAUGGAAAUAGCUACAU
ensembl:lncRNA